rnacentral:lncRNA from 1 species
UCAUCUUGCUCUGCAGUACCAGAGAAGCUGUUUGCAUCUUUCAAAUUUAGAUGGACAGUUUCUUUUUUCUGACACCAGGUCCCCAGCUACAUCUAAGCAAACAAGGCAUUCUUCCACAGAGCUGAACCAGAACCCAUCUUUCGUCCAUUUCACUUGGUUAAGAAGGAGGAUAGUCAGGAAUNNCUUUUUAUCAGCUCCAAGCCCUAAUUCAUAUUCUCCCAAAUCUCCCACUCCACCCUCUCAACCCUCCCCCACCC